GAUGAACGCUGGCGGCGUGCCUAAUACAUGCAAGUCGAGCGAACAGACGAGGAGCUUGCUCCUCUGACGUUAGCGGCGGACGGGUGAGUAACACGUGGAUAACCUACCUAUAAGACUGGGAUAACUUCGGGAAACCGGAGCUAAUACCGGAUAAUAUAUUGAACCGCAUGGUUCAAUAGUGAAAGACGGUUUUGCUGUCACUUAUAGAUGGAUCCGCGCCGCAUUAGCUAGUUGGUAAGGUAACGGCUUACCAAGGCAACGAUGCGUAGCCGACCGUGCAGGGUGAUCGGCCAAACGGGAACUGAGACACGGUCCAGACGCCUACGGGAGUCAGCAGUAGGGAAUCUUCCGCAAUGGGCGAAAGCCUGACGGAGCAACGCCGCGUGAGUGAUGAAGGUCUUCGGAUCGUAAAACUCUGUUAUUAGGGAAGAACAAAUGUGUAAGUAACUAUGCACGUCUUGACGGUACCUAAUCAGAAAGCCACGGCUAACUACGUGCCAGCAGCCGCCGUAA
rnacentral:rRNA from 1 species